CGAGUCGGUUGGACGGCUGCGGCACGGAGAACUGGGGACGCGAUGUCUUCAAGCUCCGAGCCGAGGAAAGUCCGGACUCCACAGAGCAGGGCGGUUGCUAACGGCAACCCGAGGUGACUCGCGGGACAGUGCCACAGAAAAUAGACCGCCCACUGUCGCUUCCUCCGGGAAGUGGCAUGUGGGUCAGGGUGAAACGGUGCGGUAAGAGCGCACCAGCACCUCAGGUGACUGGGGUGGCUAGGUAAACCCCGCCCGGAGCAAGGUCGAAGGUUGCACCUCCUUCGAGAAGUGCAGCUGCGCAAGUGUUCGAGGGCUGCUCGCCCGAGCUUGCGGGUUGACUGCUCGAGGUACCCGGCGACGGUGUGCCCAGAUGGAUGGUCGUCGUUCCACGUGCGAUUUGUCGCAUGUGGUUCACAGGAUCCGGCUUACAUGCCGACUCGUUCG
rnacentral:RNase_P_RNA from 1 species